rnacentral:rRNA from 1 species
CGAUUACGGGAGGCAGCAGUGGGGAAUAUUGGACAAUGGAGGAAACUCUGAUCCAGCAACUCUGUGUGCACGAAGAAGGUUUUCGGAUUGUAAAGUGCUUUCAGUAGGGAAGAAGAAAGUGACGGUACCUACAGAAGAAGCGACGGCUAAAUACGUGCCAGCAGCCGCGGUAAUAUCG